UAACCUGCCAAGAGAUCGGGAUAACACCUGGAAACAGAUGCUAAUACCGGAUAACAACAGAUGAUGCCUAUCAACUGUUUAAAAGAUGGUUCUGCUAUCACUCUUGGAUGGACCUGCGGUGCAUUAGCUAGUUGGUAGGGUAACGGCCUACCAAGGCGAUGAUGCAUAGCCGAGUUGAGAGACUGAUCGGCCACAUUGGGACUGAGACACGGCCCAAACUCCUACGGGAGGCAGCAGUC
rnacentral:rRNA from 1 species